rnacentral:rRNA from 1 species
GAUGAACGCUGGCGGCGUGCCUAAUACAUGCAAGUCGAGCGAACGGACGAGAAGCUUGCUUCUCUGAUGUUAGCGGCGGACGGGUGAGUAACACGUGGAUAACCUACCUAUAAGACUGGGAUAACUUCGGGAAACCGUAGCUAAUACCGGAUAAUAUUUUGAACCGCAUGGUUCAAAAGUGAAAGACGGUCUUGCUGUCACUUAUAGAUGGAUCCGCGCUGCAUUAGCUAGUUGGUAAGGUAACGGCUUACCAAGGCAACGAUGCAUAGCCGACCUGAGAGGGGGAUCAGCAACAGUGGAAGUGAGACACGGUACAGACGCGGACGGGAGGCACCAGGGGGGAAUAGUGGAGAAGGGGAGAAAGCAGGACGGAGCAAUGCCGGGGGAGGGAAGAAGGUUGUAGGAUGGUAAAACUCUUGUAGUGGGAAAGAAAAAAAGUCGAGUAAUAAAUAGCUGUCGGGAGGGGACAAAAAGAAAAAGCCACGGCGAAGUACGGG